GACGAACGCUGGCGGCGUGCUUAACACAUGCAAGUCGAACGGCAAGGCCCUGCUUUUGUGGGGUGCUCGAGUGGCGAACGGGUGAGUAACACGUGAGUAACCUGCCCUUGACUUUGGGAUAACUUCAGGAAACUGGGGCUAAUACCGGAUAGGAGCUCCUGCUGCAUGGUGGGGGUUGGAAAGUUUCGGCGGUUGGGGAUGGACUCGCGGCUUAUCAGCUUGUUGGUGGGGUAGUGGCUUACCAAGGCUUUGCCGGGUAGCCGGCCUGAGAGGGUGACCGGCGACAUGGGGACUGAGAGACGGCCCAGACGGCUACGGGAGGCAGCAGUGGGGAAUAUUGCACAGUGGGCGGAAGCCUGAUGAAGCAACGCCGCGUGCGGGAUGACGGCCUUCGGGUUAUAAACCGCUUUCGCCUGUGACGAAGCGUGAGUGACGGUAAUGGAUAAAGAAGCACCGGCUAACUACGUG
rnacentral:rRNA from 1 species